UACGUAGGGGGCAAGCGGUGUCCGGAUUUAUUGGGCGUAAAGAGCGUGUAGGCGGCUUUACAGGUCCGUUGUGAAAACUCGAGGCUCAACCUCGAGACGCCGGUGGAAACCGUAAAGCUAGAGUCCGGAAGAGGAGAGUGGAAUUCCUGGUGUAGCGGUGAAAUGCGCAGAUAUCAGGAGGAACACCAAUUGCGAAGGCAGCUCGCUGGGACGUUACUGACGCUGAGACGCGAAAGCGUGGGGAGCAAACAGG
rnacentral:rRNA from 1 species